GUGAACGCUGGCGGUAGGCCUAACACAUGCAAGUCGAACGGCAGCACAGUAAGAGCUUGCUCUUACGGGUGGCGAGUGGCGGACGGGUGAGGAAUACAUCGGAAUCUACUUUUUCGUGGGGGAUAACGUAGGGAAACUUACGCUAAUACCGCAUACGACCUACGGGUGAAAGCCGGGGAUCUUCGGACCUUGCGCGAUUGAAUGAGCCGAUGUCGGAUUAGCUAGUUGGCGGGGUAAAGGCCCACCAAGGCGACGAUCCGUAGCUGGUCUGAGAGGAUGAUCAGCCACACUGGAACUGAGACACGGUCCAGACUCCUACGGGAGGCAGCAGUGGGGAAUAUUGGACAAAGGGCGCAAGCCUGAUCCAGCCAUACCGCGUGGGUGAAGAAGGCCUUCGGGUUGUAAAGCCCUUUUGUUGGGAAAGAAAAGCAGCAGGUUAAUACCCCGCUGUUCUGACGGUACCCAAAGAAUAAGCACCGGCUAACUUCGUG
rnacentral:rRNA from 1 species